rnacentral:rRNA from 1 species
AGAGUUUGAUCAUGGCUCAGGAUGAACGCUGGCGGCGUGCCUAACACAUGCAAGUCGAGCGAGACUCCGGCAGAAGAGACUUCGGUUAAAUCAGUCGGACGAUAGCGGCGGACGGGUGAGUAACGCGUAGGCAAUCUGCCCCGUACAGAGGGAUAGCCGUUGGAAACGACGAGUAAGACCUCAUGAUGCAGCACUUUCACAUGGGAGAGCUGCCAAAGAUUUAUCGGUAUGGGAUGAGCCUGCGUCUGAUUAGCUGGUUGGUGAGGUAACGGCCCACCAAGGCGACGAUCAGUAGCCGACCUGAGAGGGUGAUCGGCCACAUUGGAACUGAGACACGGUCCAAACUCCUACGGGAGGCAGCAGUGGGGAAUAUUGCACAAUGGAGGGAACUCUGAUGCAGCAACGCCGCGUGAAGGAUGAAGGUUUUCGGAUCGUAAACUUCUGUCCAUGGGGACGAAGAAAGUGACGGUACCCGUGGAGGAAGCCCCGGCUAACUACGUGCCAGCAGCCGCGGUAAUACGUAGGGGGCGAGCGUUAUCCGGAAUUAUUGGGCGUAAAGAGUGCGUAGGUGGCCCACUAAGCGCAGGGUUUAAGGCAAUGGCUUAACUGUUGUUCGCCUUGCGAACUGGAGGGCUUGAGUUCAGGAGAGGAAAGUGGAAUUCCUAGUGUAGCGGUGGAAUGCGUAGAUAUUAGGAGGAACACCGGUGGCGAAGGCGACUUUCUGGACUGAUACUGACACUGAGGCACGAAAGCGUGGGGAGCAAACAGGAUUAGAUACCCUGGUAGUCCACGCCGUAAACGAUGAGCACUAGGUGUCGGGGCCGUAAAGGCUUCGGUGCCGCAGUUAACGCAAUAAGUGCUCCGCCUGGGGAGUAUGCACGCAAGUGUUAAACUCAAAGGAAUUGACGGGGACCCGCACAAGCAGCGGAGCAUGUGGUUUAAUUCGAAGCAACGCGAAGAACCUUACCAGGACUUGACAUCCCCCUGACAGGGCUUUAAAAGGCCCCUUCUUCGGACAGGGGAGACAGGUGGUGCAUGGUUGUCGUCAGCUCGUGUCGUGAGAUGUUGGGUUAAGUCCCGCAACGAGCGCAACCCUUGCCUUUAGUUGCCAUCAUCAAGUUGGGCACUCUAGAGGGACUGCCGGGGACAACUCGGAGGAAGGUGGGGAUGACGUCAAAUCAUCAUGCCCCUUAUGUUCUGGGCUACACACGUGCUACAAUGGCCGGUACAGCAGGAAGCGAAGCCGUGAGGCGGAGCGAACCCCAAAAGCCGGUCCCAGUUCGGACUGCAGGCUGCAACCCGCCUGCACGAAGUCGGAGUUGCUAGUAAUCGCGGAUCAGCACGCCGCGGUGAAUGCGUUCCCGGGUCUUGUACACACCGCCCGUCACACCAUGGAAGUUGGUGGUGCCCGAAGUCGGUCAACAAAUCUACUGCCUAAGGCAAAACCAAUGACUGGGGUGAAGUCGUAACAAGGUAACCGUA